rnacentral:lncRNA from 1 species
GUGAUGAAGAGCCCCCAUUGUCGUCGUCGUCAUCAUCAUCGUCGUCAUCAUCAUUGUCGUCUUCAUCAUUGUCGUCGUCGUCAUCUUCGGAAGAACCCCGUCAUCGUCAUCGUCAACGUUGGAAGAGCUCCAUCAUCAUCGUCGUCAUCGUUAAAGUCAACGUUAUGAAGAGCCCGCCAUUAUUGACACCGUCGGAAGAGCCCCGUCGUCAUCGUCACCGUGAUGAAGAGCCCCCAUUGUCAUCGUCAUCAUCAUCAUCAUUGUCAACGUUGGAAGAACCCCAACAUCGUCAUCGUCACCGGUGGAAGAGCUCCGUCGUCAUCGUUGUCAUUGUUAAAGUCAACUUUAUGAAGAGCCCGCCAUUAUUCGUCACCGGUGGAAGAGCCCCGUCUUCAUCUUCAUCUUCAUCUUCAUCUUCAUCUUCAUCAUCAACAUUACGAAGAGCCCCCGUUGUCAUCGGCACCCUUGGGAGAGCCAUCAUCAUCAUCAUCGUCAUCAUCGUCAUCAUCAUCAUCGUCACAGUUGGAAGAGCCAUCUUCAUCAUCAUCAUCAUCAUCGGGAAGAGCCUUCGUUGUCAUCGUGGGAAGAGCCUUCAUCGUCAUUUUCAUCAUCAUCAUCAUCAUCAUCUUCAUCAUCGUCGUCACCGCUGCGAAGAGCCCCCGUGGUCCUCACGCUCUUCAUCCUCACUGCCACCAUCCUCUUCCUCCUCAUCAUCACCGUUGCCUUCCUCUUCCUCCUCCUCCUCCUCCUCUUCUUCCUCCUCUUCCUCACCGUUUUCCUCAUCUUCCUCCUCGUCAUCACCACCACCACCGUCCUCCUCCUCCUCACCUUCAUCUUCGUCACCAUCAUCACCUUCCUCCUCCUCCUCCUCACCUUCAUCUUUGUCACCAUCAUCACCGCCACCUUCUUCCUCCUCCUCCUCCUCCUCC